rnacentral:tRNA from 1 species
CGGGGCGUAGCGCAGCUGGCUAGCGCAUUCGCUUUGGGAGCGAAAGGUCGCAGGUUCAAAUCCUGCUGCCCCGA